rnacentral:lncRNA from 1 species
GUAUUUUUACUUAGUCAAAAGAAAAUAAAUAUUACUGAAACAGGGGAAACCAAUUAGUAGAAGAUUACAAUACUUGUUGUAUUUAGAGGAACUUUUGGGAUGUGGUCUUUCGAUGAUAUGCCCAGCUACUGCCGAAACUGUUAUCGUCCACAGGUGGUGGCAUUGGGUCACUAUGCACCAACUUGAACGUAUAUUUCAUAGAAAAAAAUCAGAGGAUAGCCUAUCAGAGCAUCUUAAUGGAAACUUUGAAAGGUUUAGAAAGCUUACCCAAGAUUUUAAAUAACUUCGAGGGUAGGUUUUCCAAUCCAACAACAUCACCUAUAUUGGAAUACAAACCAAUAUCCCACAUCGGAAGAUUAGAAAGAGAAGUUUCUAAUAUAUAAGUCAAGUCCCACUCCAAUUAGUAUGAGGCCUUUUGGGAAGAAGUCCAGUAAAUCCGUGCGGGCUUGAGUGAUAAGCCCAAAGCGGACAAUAUCAUACUAAUGGAAAGUUGGCUUGGUUAUAGACAUUCCAACAACCUACACAUGUAAACCGGAUUUUUAAAAAAUUGGUUACCAAGUUAUGCAUCUAUCAUUAAUAUACAAAUGCGAUAAACUUUAAAAACUUAUAAGAAAGUUUUUGCUAACCUUAAUUUUCGUUUAAGGACUACAGUUCUAAGUUCUAACAUUUUCGUGUAGAAAAUUUUCCAGAGCACGUGGCUCAUGUUUUGUCUGCUUAUCCUUACUAAAAUAAUGGCAUGAUUGACCUGUACACAGAGAAGAAAAAAUUGUUAGUCACACGACUCACGAUUCACCAAAGGUGUAAUAAUUUUUUAAAGAAUAUUGAGUAAUCAAUAUGAACAUAAACAUACUCUGAUAGUACUCUCACCUUUUCUCCGAGCAAUUGAAACAAAG